rnacentral:rRNA from 1 species
GUGCACCCUCCGUAGCUCUAUGGCCUGGGUGGGUUUGUCCCCCCUUGCUGUGGUUCUACGUAUUUACACACACACACUGCCAUAAAGUCUCAUGGAAUGUUUGCCGCGUUUAACGCAAUACAAUACAACUUUCAGCAACGGAUCUCUUGGCUCUCGCAUCGAUGAAGAACGCAGCGAAAUGCGAUAAGUAAUGUGAAUUGCAGAAUUCAGUGAAUCAUCGAAUCUUUGAACGCACCUUGCGCCCUUUGGCUAUUCUGAAGGGCAUGCCUGUUUGAGUAUCAUGAACACCUCAACUCCUCAUGGUUUGCCAUGAUGAGCUUGGACUUUGGGGGUCUUGCUGGCCUAUGGUUGGCUCCUCUCAAAUGGAUCAGCUUGCCAGUGUUUGGUGGCAUCACAGGUGUGAUAAAUAUCUACGCUUGUGGUUU